GAGUUAUCAAGACGCUUUAUGAAUUAAAAUAUUUCUAUAAGUUUAGAAUGUAACCAACAUUGUACAUUUUAAUGAUACUAUACAAACAUUUAUAAAAGCGAAUGGAUGAGUCGUAAUUAACCUACCGAAUCAAGGCGCUGAAAUUGAUGAAAGACUGUCGGUGAAGUUACUGAAGCAAGCAAACACUACCGAUUCUGAUGUGCCAUAAAGCUGUAGCAAGGUUCCACCAUAGAUCAAACAAUCUGAAACCGGGAGAUGCAGCCCUGAAUUCCACAUUUAAAGAGAAUGGAGAUGUUAGUCACCCCAGUAGGACUUGUUUUUGUGUUAUUUAUUAACACGUGUGACAUUUAGAGCAAAUGUGUUAUAAAUGAGCAACAUGUAGACAUUUGCAAAAUGUUGUUUUCUGAAAUCUGUGUCAAAUUUAGCAUUUGAAACCAGAUACUUUCAGAUUUUUUUUUCAGUUUUAAGUAUUUUUGUUUUCCAUUACUUUUGUUGCGCUAUUUUUUCGUGAAGCGUACAAUUAUAAUGGUGUUGUGACCGUCAAUG